GCAGACGCAAAAGCGUCGUCUGUGGCGGCAGCUAGACAUCGGGCGACCCUCGUCCCGCCAGGUUUUGGGGUCGCGCAAACGAGCGACGGGGGCUGGGGCUCCGGAUUCAGGUGUUCUUUCUUCAGCGCUCACGGGUUUCUGUCCGUACGCGAUGCGAGCGAACGUCGCGGUCGAGGCUAGGGCCCCGAAGCCCGCAGUAAUCCACGUCUCCCGCCCGCUCCGGGCCCCCAGUGCCGCCGUCGCGGGCGGAGGCGCGAGGUCUGGGCUUUGGCGCCUUCGCAGCCGCAGGCGACAUCCUCUUUCCUAGCUAAAGCCCCAAACGCCCAGGUGGCUUCCUGGGAGAGCACGGCUGAGCCUCCGCCUUCAGAUCAGAACAGGCAGAGCCUCCAAGGGCGGCUUGGGCCCAGUGCCUGCUUAUCCUGCCCGUCUCUCCACACUUCUUCUUUCCCUGUCCGUUGGAGUCCAUUCCUUCCUGGAAAAGCCAAAGCCGCGCUCCCCUAAGAGGCCUGGAUGUGAAGGUGAGUGAGACGCCCUGGCCUCUGGGUGCAAAGGCCGGCGCCUGCCGCUUUCAACACUCAGGAGGCGCGUUUCAGCCCCGCUGGCCCCCGGCCGCAGACUCGGAGCGCUGAGCUCCCACCGUUCCCAUCACCCGACUCCCUUCCCAGGAAUGAGGAGCACCCGGGAAGCUUCAGCCACUACACGAAGGAGGCGCCAAGCCCAAACUCCUCCCCAGCUACCGGCGGGGUCAGUGCAGAGCCGCGGAGGGCACACAUGAACCCUGGCACGCAGCCUCAGGGAGGGGCAGGCUGGAAAUGACCCUGCCUGCAGCUGGGCCAUCAGCCUGACCACCUGCCCCCUGAGCAAACGUUGAUGCAGGUCGGGCGCGGUGGCUCAUGCCUGUAAUCCCAGCACUUUAGGAGCCCGAGGCAGGUGGAUCACCUGAGGUUAGGCGUUCACGACCAGCCUGGCCAACAUGGUGAAACACCGUCGCUACUAAAAAUACAAAAACUAGCCAGGCAUGGUAAUGGGGUGCACCUGUAGUCCAGCUACUCGGGAGGCUGAGGCCCGAGAAUCGCUUGAACCCAGGAGGCGGAGCUUGCAGUGAGCGGAGAUCACCACUCCAGCCUGGGUGACAGAGUGAGACUCCAUCUCAAAAAAAUUAAUUAAAGAAAAAACGCUGAUGCUUUCUGAAAUACAUUUUAUUAUCGCUGUACCAUUCUGGGGCACUGGAGAUGGCAGCUGAGAAGCAGAGAAGCUGGAGACCUGAAGCCUCCACCCUUGGCUGUGGCUGCCGAGAGAGGCCCCUGCAGAGGGAGCCCCAGGCCACACCCAGACACCACAGCCAGCUCACAGUGCGGCCAGAGGGCACAGGCUGCUUGGGGGGUGAGGGUCCCCAUUCCUGCCACCUCUCACAGACCAUGACCCACAGGGCUGGGGGCUUCCCCUGGGAGAAAGUCCUUCCCUCCCCAUGGCCCAGCCCUGGGGAAAGAAAGCAGAGACUAACUCAGGGACUGCAGUAGGCUGAGGACAAGGGAGGUGGGCUUGGGGUGAAGGCCCCCCCUCACUCGCAGAGAAGGGACACUACCGGCAGUAGAGGACAGGGAGGCAGGACGACGGCAGUUAGAGACGAGGCGUUUCAGGUGAACUGUAUGUAGUGUUACUCCGGACGUGAGCAUGGCCUGGGUCAGUCGAAUGAAAUGAGCUGGGCCUCGCUGCCCUGUGCCGGCGGCCCCUGUGCCUGCGGUUGCUGGGCCACGGGGGGCUGCUGCUGGGGGGGACCGCCAGAGGGUGCCAUCUGUGCAGGAGGAAAGCAGGCAUGGCCCUGGUCCUCCCUUCCCCAGCCCAGGGAGGAAGGCUUUUGUCCCAGCAGAGCCACAGACCCACAAGUGCUUGUAAUCCAUGUCCACGGACUGCAGCUCAUGCAGCCAGCUCAUGCGGCCUUUGCCUUUCAAGUAAAUUCACGGUUUUUCCUGUCUACACUUGCGGAUGCGCGUAUCUGCCCUGAGACUUGUGUCCUCGUUCUGUCUGCUGAGAAGGGGCCUCGGGUAUGCGUCUCCCCCUGUGAGCAGACGUACGGGACAAUCCCCACUGGGGCCAGGGGUCCCAUUGCUAAACCGUGAAGCCUGAGGGUGCCCUGCGGGUGCCGCUGUGAGGCCCCGGGAAUGGCUCACCUGCUGGUACAUGGGCUGCUGCCCCGCGAUGUAGGGCUGCUGGGGUGGCAGAGACGCAUCCUGGCUUGGGAGGGUGGUCAUGAGAUUCUGUUGUGAGAAGACGUCAGAUGUGAGAGAGUAGCCCUGUGACCAGGCAGGCGGGGAUGUUUCUGGCUUGCAACAAUCCAAAGGUGACCACAGGGAGCACCCAGAGAGUGGAGGGGGAGGAGCAGAAGGGGUGGAGCCCACCCAGUGCCUGCCAGCCUCACCAAAGGACCCUCAGCAUCAUCAACUGCUCCCCCACCCUGGCCCCCAGCAGGGCCUGGAGGUCACUGUACCUGCAUGUUGUAAGGCUGGUAGCCCAUGGAGACUGACUGGCUCCCCAUGUAGCCCAUGGUGCUGGACUGCGGAGGCUGAGAGAUGGCCGGGAGGCUCUGUGGGGCCUGGGAGGCCACGUUCUGCGGAGGGAAUGAGUGCCAUGGGAGAAGGGGCUGGGGCUGGGGCUGGGGCUGGGGCUGGCCCUGGAAGGAGAGGAGCGGCCUUCCUGUGUACCUGGUAGCCCGCUGUGGGAGUAGGCUGGUAGGAUGAGUAAGCGGGGCUGGCGGUGGGUCCGGCCUGGGCCUGGGGGGCCGCCUGCGCCCCAGUGGCCCCUGCUGGGUACAUGUAGGCACUCACCAUGCUGGGAUCUGUGACAAACAAGACAGGGGAGAUGGUUCAGCCAGGGCAACAGGGAGGAGAGGAAGGGACACCCUACUCUUGAGUUUUACUUUUUUUUUUUUUUUUUUGAGAUGGAGUCCUGCUCUGUCACCAGGCUGGAGUGCAGUGGCACAAUCCUGGCUCACUGCAACCUCUGCCUCCCGGGUUCAAGCGAUUCUCCUGCCUCAGCCUCCCGAGUAGCUGGGAUUACGGGCGUACGCCACUACGCCCGGCUAAUUUUUUUUUGUACUUUUAAUAAAGAUGGGGUUUCAUCAUGUUGGCCAGGAUUGUCUUGAUCUCCUGACCUUGUGAUCCGCCCGCCUCGGCCUCCCAAAGUGCUGGGAUUACAGGCGUGAGCCACCGCGCCCGGCCGAGUUUUACUUUUUUUUUGAGAUAGUCUGUCACGCAGGCUGGAGUGCAGUGGCGCGAUCUCAGCUCACUGCAACCUCUGCUUCCUGGGUUGAAGCAAUUCUCCUGCCUCAGCCUCCCGAGCAGCUGGGAUUACAGGCGUGCACCACCACACCCAGCUAAGUUUUUGUAUUUUUAGGAGAGACGGGUUUCACCAUGUUGGUCAGGCUGGUGUCAAACUCCUGACCUCAGGUGAUCCACCCGCCUCGGCCUCCCGAAGUGCUGGGAUUAUAGGCGUGAGCCACCGCCCGGCCAGGAGUUUUCCUUUUUGUUGUGACUUUUGGAACCAAGUUCAGGUUUCACGUUUCUAAAAAAAAGGAACAUAGGCGGGGCGUGGUGGCUCAUGCUUGUAAUCCCAGCACUUUGGGAGGCCGAGGCAGGCGGAUCAUGAUGGCAGGAGUUCGAGACCAGGCUGUCUAACAUAGUAAAACCCUGUCUCUAAUAAAAAUACAAAAACUAGCUGGGCAUGGUGGCAGGCGCCUGUAAUCCCAGCUACGCAGGAGGCUGAGGCAGGAGAAUUGCUUGAACCUGGGAGGCGGAGAAUGCCGUGAGCUGACGUCGCACCACUGCACUCCAGCCUGGGCGACAGAGCGAGACUUCGUCUCAAAAAAGAAGAUAAACCAACAAGGAUGGGAGGAGAAUCCUAGAAUGGAAUGAAAUCAGAAAAAAUGAACCAAACUGUAUUUGAAAUGAGUGACAUGGUCUGACCAAUGGGAUGGGAUAGUGAAUUCCAGUAACUUCUGAACCCAAAAUCUGGACUCCACGGCCUCAGGCUACAAAUGACAAGAACUACAGACAAAUGUUACACUCCAGUUAGGAGGCAUCGUCUCCACAGUGGGCCAGGUUAGCAUUCUUAAAACUACUUUUUGUGUAUUCUAGGGCUGAGCAAUUGAGUAUAUUGAAAACAAUGCAAAAGAAAACUGUGCUAUUGGAUUAAAAUUGCAAGUACUGGAAUUA
rnacentral:lncRNA from 1 species